rnacentral:misc_RNA from 1 species
GUGAGUCAUCGAAUCUUUGAACGCACAUUGCGCCCGCCAGUAUUCUGGCGGGCAUGCCUGUUCGAGCGUCAUUUCAACCCUCAAGCUCUGCUUGGCGUUGGGGAUCGGCAUCCCGGCUUCGCGCCGCGCCGUCCCCCAAAUACAGUGGCGGUCACGCUGCAGCUUCCUUUGCGUAGUAGCACACCUCGCACCGGAGAGCAGCGCGGCCACGCCGUAAAACCCCCGACUUCUUGUUUUUGACCUCGAAUCAGGUAGGACUACCCGCUGAACUUAAGCAUAUCAAUAAGCGGAGGA